rnacentral:rRNA from 1 species
GAUGAACGCUGGCGGCGUGCCUAAUACAUGCAAGUCGAACGAACAGACCAGGUUCUUGCUGCUCUGUCGUUAUCGUCGGACGGGUGAGUAACACGUGGAUAACCUACCUAUAAGACUGGGAUAGCUUCGGGACACCGGAGCUAAUACCUGAUAAUCUAUUGAACCGCAUGGUUCAAUAGGUAAAGACGGUUUUGCUGUCACUGAUAGGUGGAUCCGCGCCGCCUUAGCUAGUUGGUGAUGUAACGGCUUACCAAGGCGACGAUGCGUAGCCGACGUGAGAGGGUGAGCGGCGACACUGGAACUGAGACACGGUACAGACCCAGACGGGAGGGAGAAGUAGGGAAUCGGAAUAAAGGGGAGAAGGCGUGAGGCAGCAGCGCCGCGGGAGUGUUGAAGGUGUCCGGCUCGUAAAUGUAUGCUAUUAGCGAAGAACAGAUGGGUACGUAACUAGGCACGUGUUGACGGUACUUAAAGAGAAAGCCACGGCUAACUACGUG